GUCUCAAUUCUUAAACAACUAGUAUGUUGGCUUAGAAGCAGCCAUCAUUUAAAGAGUGCGUAAUAGCUCACUAGUCUAGUUUUGGGGCACCGACAGUAUAACGGGGCUAAGCUAAAUACCGAAUUUUUGGAUCAUAAUUCACAGGCCGUGCAAUUAUGGUGGUAGGCGAGUGUUAUAUUGGCGAUGAAGCUUGAGCGUGAGUACAAGUGGAGCCAACAUAAGUAAGAAUGCCGGCGUAAGUAACGUAUGAAAGUGAGAAUCUUUCUAGCCGAUUGACUAAGGUUUCCAGGGCAAGGGUCAUCCUCCUUGGGUUAGUCGGACCUAAGACGAGGCCGAAAGGCGUAGUCGAUGGAUAGCGAGUUAAUAUUCUUGCACUCGCUUGAUUGGCGACGGGGUGACAGAAGAGGUUAAUAUGGGCGGGUUAUUGGAUUCCCGUUUAAGUUUCAAGUGGCCGAUAUAGGCAAAUCCGUAUCGGAAUACCAUGAGUUACGAAUACGAGCGAAAGCUACGGCAAUUAGCGAAGCCAUAAACAUCAUAUUCUCAAGAAAAGCCUCUAGCUUAACAAUCAAGCAUCCGUACCGAGAACGAACACACGUGGUCAAGGAGAAAAUCCUAAGGCUAUCGAGAUAACUACAGUUAAGGAACUCUGCAAAAUAGCCCUGUAACUUCGGGAGAAAGGGUGCCUAUGCAAAUAGGUCACAGUAAAGAAUGAGGGGGGACUGUUUAACAAAAACAUAGCUAUAUGCAAAAUCGAAAGAUAACGUAUAUGUGGCGACACCUGCCCAGUGCCAGAAG
rnacentral:rRNA from 1 species